UUAAAGAGAAACGGCUACAGGCAACUGAAAGUACGAAGAGACUUUGAUGUCCUAUAUUGCAUAUCAAAUUUGGUUGGUCAGGAGCAUGUGUUCGAAUUUAUUUUGAAUUUGUAGUCCAAGAUUGAUUUUAAUUUGAGCAUCCACCUAAGCUCAAGAAUCACAACAGCAAAAGUGGCUAUUAGCUGCAUUUUAAAGUACUGCUGGGCAAACAAAUAUCGUAAAUAUCUUUAUAAUAUCGAUAAAAUUUUUUAUUUCUGUUUUAAAUUACAAGCUCUUAACUACCAAGAUAUGAUUUGUAUUAUUAGUAGAUAAGAAUUAUUUAUGUAACUUAUUAAUACGCAUUCUUAUCAUUGAGUAAGUAUUUAAUGUAUAUCUUAAUAUUUCAUAUUCUAAUCUUUUUAAAUAUACUUUUCUUUUUCAUAAAAAGAAAAAUAAAUUUAAUUUAUUUAAUUCUUUAUGUUCAAGAUUUUAUUGUUAAGACUAUAUAUAUGUGUAUAAUAACAUAUUUGAUACGAUUGAUAUAACCAAACCAAGCUCUAUAUAAAAAUUAAUAAUUCAAAAAUUAAUAUAUUAAUUUUUUGAAAUCCUAUGAAUUAUGAUAUUAUUUAUUGAUAUAUUAAUUAAAUAUCAUAAUAGCAAUUUUGGUUUCUAACGCUUCAAGUUACAUAUCACAAAAUAUAAAUUUAUAGCAGCACUCAUAAUACAACAUCACUUAUAAAAUAAUGCUUAUUAAAGAUAGCAGC
rnacentral:lncRNA from 1 species